UAGGGAAUCUUCGGCAAUGGGGGGAACCCUGACCGAGCAACGCCGCGUGAGUGAAGAAGGUUUUCGGAUCGUAAAGCUCUGUUGUUAAGGAAGAACGAGUGUGAGAAUGGAAAGUUCAUACUGUGACGGUACUUAACCAGAAAGGGACGGCUAACUACGUGCCAGCAGCCGCGGUAAUACGUAGGUCCCGAGCGUUGUCCGGAUUAUUGGGCGUAAAGCGAGCGCAGGCGGUUAGAUAAGUCUGAAGUUAAAGGCAGUGGCUCAACCAUUGUAGGCUUUGGAAACUGUUUAACUUGAGUGCAGAAGGGGAGAGUGGAAUUCCAUGUGUAGCGGUGAAAUGCGUAGAUAUAUGGAGGAACACCGGUGGCGAAAGCGGCUCUCUGGUCUGUAACUGACGCUGAGGCUCGAAAGCGUGGGGAGCGAACAGG
rnacentral:rRNA from 1 species